rnacentral:lncRNA from 1 species
ACAGGCGCCGCGUCCCGGGGACACAGGCAGCUCUGGGCCGUGCGGGGGAAGGGGCCCCUCGGGGAGGGACAGCUGGGAACCAGUCCGUGCCCCACUGCGGCGCCACCCUGCCCUGAGCACGGCGGGGACUCGAACUCACACUCGGCUCAGAACAAGGUGUGUGUGUAAAGACACAUCCAGUGCCAGUCACCGGAGAGAUCCAGCUAAGGCCAGCAGGAGAAGGGCCUCACACCUGUUAGAAGCUCUUAUCACAGACACCUGUGGCCGGGAUGUACACACUGCUGGCAAGAAUGAGGCAUCUGCCCGUGUUUCUGACCAGCUGUCACCAUCAAGCACAGUCAGUUUUAGGCUCAUAUUUGCAGUGUGGCUUACCUUCCAUCCCUCAGCCAAGACUUGAAGACAACAAAACGAAGAAAGCUAGAUAAGAAAAUAAAUCUGAAUGAACCUAGGAAAGCGGAAGUGCUGAACUGAGCUUCUCCACACUUCCCCACCCCUUUGCAGCUGCAUGUACGGGAUCUGGUUCUGGGCUGUGGCCCAGGACAUCCCCACCUGGCCCUGCCACAUCCUCCACUGGGAUUAUACCAGCAUCACUGGGGGAGAUGAUGGGCUGGAUCAUGUUUCCAUGAAAGGCAGGUUGAAGUCCUAACUCCCUGUCCCUCUAAUGGGGCCUGCUUUGGAAACUGGGCCCUUGUAGAUGUGAUGCAGUUAGAGCGGGUCCUGACCUGGGCCUUCCCCCCACAGGGCCGAUGUCCUAGGGGAUUGUCCUGGGAGACUGGCAGAGUUUGGAGUCCAGCUCUCUCAAACCCAGGAACUCCAGAGGCCAAACUGAAGCUGGAAAUGAGAAACGAGCCUCCUCCAUACCCUGCUAAGAUCCAGAUUUUGAACCUGUAGCCCAGGAACUGUGAGAAAUUAUGUUUCUUAUUUUUAAGUCACCCCGGCUGUGGCACUUAGUGAGCAUAGCUGUAGAAAUUUAAUUGUUGUUAAUUUCUGCCUUGCUCCUGCAACACUGUACCUUCUUUCCUCUGGGACAUACUUCCUGCUCUAUGCUAAGAUUCUGAGAGAGCAGGAAAAGGUCUAUAUUCCCCCCAUGCUCCUGACUCCUGGCUUGUUAGAAGAUAUUGAUUACAUUUCUCUCCCAGAAUUGUGAUGCUUAAGCCAAAUAAAAAAUGUAAGAUAUCUGAUGUAUAAUAACAAUCAAUAAUUAGUCCGCCCCCUGGUUCAAUAAUUUCAGCCUUUUUCUGAUUAAACGUGAUGUUAAGAUCAUCACUUGCAUAUUAAUGAAAGUUUUUCAAGGGGCAUAGUAUAAUAAAAUAUUUAACUAAGAUGCAGAGUUACAUAUAUUUACUAGGCAGUAGAGUAAACAUAUGCUUAUCAAUAUAUAAAC